UUGCACUUUGGAACUUCCUCUCCCUCUCUUCUUCCCUUGUGUCUCCAACCGUCUGGAGCAGAUUUUGGGAGGGGGGGAGAUGAGAGGGAGGGGAAGGUCUGAGCUGCAAG